UGAAUUUUUAAUGCAAAUGAAAAUGGAAAAAUAGGGGACAGAAAUCAGGUAUUGGCAGUUUUUCCAUUUUCGUUUGUGUGUGAAUUUUUAAUAUGAAUGC